AUUGAACUCUUGCGGCAGGCCUAACACAUGCACGUCGAACGAGUUGCGGACGGGUGAGUACUUUCUGGGAAACUGCCUGCUGGAGGUGGAUAACUACUGGAAACGUUAGCUAAUACCGCCUACCAUCAUCUGUUCCCAGAUGGGAUUCGCUUGUUGGCGGGGUAACGGCUCACAGAGGCGACGAUCCCUAGCUGGUCUGAGAGGAUGAUCAGCCACACUGGAACUGAGACACGGUCCAGACUGCUACGGGAGGAAGCAGUGGGGAAUAUUGCACAAUGGGCGCAAGCCUGAUGCAGCCAUGCCGCGUGUAUGAAGAAGGCCUUCGGGUUGUAAAGUGCUUUCAGCGGGGAGGCGGUACAAGCAGAAGAAGCACCGGCUAACUCCGUGCCAGCCGCCGCGGUAAUAC
rnacentral:rRNA from 1 species